AUAAAAGCCCAAAGAAAUUAGGGUUAUGACAUAGGUAGAGAGCCGUAUGAGUACUAAACCACAACAUCGUUUGUAGAACGGCCGGGAGUUAUACAAGACCCAGAGCAUAGAGAGCUAAGACAGAAGUUCCUUCGAGAUGCGUGCUAAGUGGAAGAAGAAGCGGAUGAGGAGAUUGAAGAGGAAGCGCCGAAAGAUGAGACAGAGAUCUAAGUAGACGGUUUGCAGAAAUAAUUAGAUUGCUUCUUUCGAGCCUGCAUCUUCAUAAUCACUAUGUUGAAUGGUUCAAGGCUCGGUUAGGGGGAGCUUUCUGAAAUUGCUAGCAACUGAUUCAGCUUUUGGUUUUCUUGUUUCUAGAAUGAACUUCUGUUUAGUUUGGUUUUCUUACUAUAAUCUUGACAGGAUUAUGAUACUUGGCUUUAAGGAAUAAUCUUUUUUAAUUAUCUGAUUUCAUUUUAUGAAUUCAUAUUUUACCA